GGGGGUGUAGCUCAGUUGGGAGAGCGUCGCGUUCGCAAUGCGAAGGUCGUCGGUUCGAUCCCGUCCACCUCCACCA
rnacentral:tRNA from 54 species